rnacentral:rRNA from 1 species
GGGGAAUAUUGGACAAUGGGCGCAAGCCUGAUCCAGCCAUGCCGCGUGUGUGAAGAAGGCCUUCGGGUUGUAAAGCACUUUCAGCGGGGAGGAAGGGGUGUGUGUUAAUAGCACAUAUUCUUGACGUUACCCGCAGAAGAAGCACCGGCUAACUCCGUGCCAGCAGCCGCGGUAAUACGGGGGGGCAAGCGUUGUUCGGAAUUACUGGGCGUAAAGGGCGUGUAGGCGGCCCGUUAAGACAGGUGUGAAAUUCCUGGGCUCAACCCAGGACGUGCGCCUGUGACUGGCGGGCUUGAGUCCGGGAGAGGAUGGUGGAACUCCCAGUGUAGAGGUGAAAUUCGUAGAUAUUGGGAGGAACACCCGUGGCGAAGGCGGCCAUCUGGACCGGUACUGACGCUAAGGCGCGACAGCGUGGGGAGCAA